GAGGAAUAUUGCGCAAUGGACGAAAGUCUGACGCAGCCAUGCCGCGUGCAGGAUGACGGCGCUACGCGUUGUAAACUGCUUUUAUUUACAAAGAAACCUCGGGACGUGUCCCGAGCUGACGGUAGUAUUUGAAUAAGCACCGGCUAACUCCGUGCCAGCAGCCGCGGUAAUACGGAGGGUGCAAGCGUUAUCCGGAUUUAUUGGGUUUAAAGGGUCCGUAGGCGGAUGAUUAAGUCAGUGGUGAAAGCCCACAGCUCAACUGUGGAACUGCCAUUGAUACUGAUCAUCUUGAGUACAUUUGAAGUUGGCGGAAUAGGUCAUGUAGCGGUGAAAUGCUUAGAUAUGACCUA
rnacentral:rRNA from 1 species